GGUGGAUGACCAUGUGCAGGGCGUAGGCCAAGACCAGCAGCAGGAUGAGGGAAGUGAUGAGGCCCAUCAGGAUGGCCGGAGUCAAGAAGGUGGUGCAGUCGCUCGGAGGAGAAAACUUACCAGAGGAGUACGUACGUGGCCUUGUCCCGGCGGCAGACGGACUGACUGGUGUCGACAGGUUUCUGAGGAGAAAACGCUCGCUCUGUCAGGUCCAGCUGCUUCUGCUUCUCGUAGCGCAGAGACAGUUUCCUGGCCUGGAACAUGACGCACGGCUCCCCGUUGGACAACACCUGGUGAAGUAGAUACAAGCUGAAGUUGAGAUCUUCCUUUAUAGGCUGAGACAAGUCUCCUACUUCUUAAGAUAGCUGGUUAAUCCUCUGGAGGUUACGCCACCUUGAGGGGAGGGAAGGGAACUGCAGCUCCUGGCAUCUGAAGCAACUUCCUCCGGGACACAUCUGGAGACUGGAGAGGAGGAUGGAGACAGUGAGAAGAAAGAAACUUUGCUGUUUCAUCUCUGAUGAAAAUCCCCAAAUCGUCCAGCAGUGAAGCUAAAAGCUCUGUGACAAUACUUGCCCUUGAAUAGAAG